CAGUCGCCGCGGUAAUACGUAGGGUGCGAGCGUUAAUCGGAAUUACUGGGCGUAAAGCGUGCGCAGGCGGUUAUAUAAGACAGAUGUGAAAUCCCCGGGCUCAACCUGGGACCUGCAUUUGUGACUGUAUAGCUAGAGUACGGUAGAGGGGGAUGGAAUUCCGCGUGUAGCAGUGAAAUGCGUAGAUAUGCGGAGGAACACCGAUGGCGAAGGCAAUCCCCCGGACCUGUACUGACGCUCAUGCACGAAAGCGUGGGGAGCAAACAGGAUUAGAUACCCCUGUAGUCCCUGUCUCUUAUAU
rnacentral:rRNA from 1 species